CAGUUGAGUUGUCAAUUCAACCGCACCUGAAAGACUUAAUAUCUGCAGUAAAGUAUUUAUUAGCAAAGUAAUAUGAUAGUAGCAGUAACGAUAGCAAAAGUAACAGUAGCAGUUUUGUAGUAAUUGUAAUAGUGGCAACGAAAAAGUAACUAAGCAAAGAUCAAUAUAUGGAAAGCGCAUAGGCAUUGGAGCGGUGAUAGAUAAUUAUCUCGGAUGCGAUUCCUCAUGCAAAAGUUAUAACAUAGGGCGAUACGACACUAGCUCCAGUUCAUAAAUAUAAUGUAGGUGUGACGCCCCCUAUUCAAUCAUACACUAAUCAUACACGCAAAUGUGUACGAUCAAGAUCAGGGACUCACGGGAAGAUAUCACAACACAACUCUACAAAUAAAAGAAGUCAUACAAGCAUCAUAUUACAAGCCAGGGGCCUCAAAGGCUCGAAUACAAGAGCUCGAUCAUAGACGAGUCAGCAGAAGCAACAAUAUCUGAGUAUAGACAUAAGUUAAAGUAGUUUGCCUUAAGAAGGCUAACACAAACUGGGAUACAGAUCGAAAGAGGCGCAGGCCUCCUACCUGGGAUCCUCCUAACUACUCCUGGUCGUUGUCAGCGGGCUGCACGUAGUAGUAGGCAACUCCCGAGUAGUAGUAGUCGUCAUCGAUAGUGGCGUCUGGCUCCUGGGCUCCAACGUCUGGUCGCAGCAAUCGGGUAUAGAAAGGAGGAAAAGAGGGAGCACAGCAACCGUGAGUACUCAUCCAAAGUACUCGCAAGCAAGGAGCUACACUACAUAUGUAUGCAUUGGUAUCAAAUGGAUUAAGGGUAUCAUAUGUGGACUGAACUGCAGAAAGCCGGAAUAAGAGGGGGAUAGCUAGUCCUGUCGAAGACUACGCUUCUGGCCACCUCCAUCUUGCAGAAUGUAGAAGAGAGUAGAUGGUAAGUUCACCAAGUAGCAUCGCAUAGCAUAAACCUACCCGGCGAUCCUCUCCUCGUUGCCCUGUUAGAGAGCGAUCACCGGGUUAUAUCUGGCACUUGAAAGGGUGUGUUUUAUUAAGUAUCUGGUUCUAGUUGUCAUAAGGUCAAGGUACAACUCCAAGUCGUCCUCUUACCGAAGAUCACGGCUAUUCGAAUAGAUUAACUUCCCUGCAGGGGUGCACCACAUUUCCCAACACGCUCGAUCCUCUUUGUCCGAACACACUUUUCUGGGUCAUGCCCGGCCUCGGAAGAUCAACACGUCGCAGCCCUACCUAGGCACAACAGAGAGGUCAGCACACCGGUCUAAAUCCUAUGGCGGAGGGGUCUGGGCCCGUCGCCCAUUGCACACCUGCAUGUUGCGAGGGCUGCCGGAAGCAGACCUAGUCUAGCAGGCGUUCUAGUCCAAUCCGGAGUGCGCCACUCAGUCGCUGACAUCACGAAGGCUUCGGCUGAUACCAUGACGUCGAGUUCCCAUAACUGUCCUUGCGUAGAUGGUUAGUGCAUAUAGGCCAGUGGCCAGACUCAGAUCAAAUACCAAGAUCUCGUUAAGCGUGUUAAGUGUCCGCGAACACCGACCAGGGCCAGGCCCACCUCUCUCCUAGGUGGUCUCAACCUGCCCUAUCGCUCGCCACAAACUAACAGUCGGGGGCCGUCGGGAACCCAGGCCCACCACUACCUGGGUGGAACCACCUGCCCCUUUAGCCCCCAUCUCCGAACAGUACCACAGGUAAUGUAACAUUGUAAAGUAUAUAGUAUAUGCCCGUGAUCACCUCCCGAAGUGAUCACGGCCUAGUAGUAUAGCAUGGCAGACGGACAAGAGUGUAGGGCCACUGAUGGAACACUAGCAUCCUAUACUAAGCAGUAGGAUAGCAGGUAAAGGUAACAACAGUGGUAGCAAGGACACGCUAUGCAGUAGUAUAGGAUUAACUGAAAGCAGUAACAUGCUACACUAAUCUAAUGCAAGCAAUAUAGAGAAUAAUAGGCGAUAUCUGGUGAUCAAGGGGGGGGCUUGCCUGGUUGCUCUGGCAAGAAGGACGGAUCGUCAACUUCGUAGUCGAACUGGGCAUCAACAGCGUCUGUCUCGUAGUCUACCGGAGAGAAGAGGGGAAAAAAAUAGUAAAUACAAUGCAAACAUAAGCAUGACGAUGCAUGUCAUGACAAUGAGCGGUGCUAGGUGUGCCCUAACGCGGUAGGAGGUGAUAUCGGCAAAGGGGGAAAACAUCUGGGAAAGAAUCCCCGGUGUUUCGCAUUUUCGAACAGAUGACUCGGAGAGGAAAGUUGCAUGUUUGCUAUGGUAGGGAUGCAUGGCGGACGAACGGGUUGCGUAUCCGGGUUCGUCUCAUUGUUCUGAGCAAAUUUCAUGUACAAAAUAUUUUUAUCCGAGUUACGGUUUAUUUUCUAUGAUUUAUCAAAGUUUUAAUGAUUUUCUAGAAUUUUUGAAAUUGUUUAAUUCGAAUAAUAACCAGAAUAAAGUUUUGUCACCUAGUGCUGAAAUAGCCAGAGUGUACGACAGUGGGCCAAGGGGUCCGGUCAGCAUGCACACUCAGCAGUUUACCAGUCAACAUUGACUAGUCAAAAGGGUCAGCGGGGCCUACAUGUCAUUGACACAAUGACUUGUCCUUUAUUUUAAAUGGGUAUUUAAGUGAGGGGGGCACUUUCAUAGGGUAGUUAGACUAAUUAUCCUAAACAAUUAAUUAACUAAACUAAUUAAUUAUUUAACUAGUAUUUCAUUUAUUUAUUUUUUAAGGAUCGGCCCCACCUGGAAGUGGCCUCAACCGGCCACAGAGGGGAGCUGCGCCCGCACGAGCACAGGACGAGGCCUGGCCAUGGCCGAGCGCGGCCUAACACGAGGAGGGGGAGCGAUGAGCGCGUAGCGAUGGGGGCGGCUAGGGGAGCCGAUGUGGGGGCGAGCCGUGGCAGUGGUCGGCGGAGCCGAUGCGGCCACGAUGCGGUGGGGCAGAGGGAAGCCGGGCGGGCGGCCAGGGGAGGCGCCGCAGCAGAGGCCCGAGGCGAGCAGCGGGGAAGCCGAGAGCGGGGGCAACGGCGCGGGAGACACGACCUUGCCGUCGUGGGGCAGGCGCGGGGCGGCUCGCCGGGGGAGGCGCGGGCCCAGGACAGGGCGUGGCCGGCGCGUGCGCGCAGGCGGAGCGGUCGCCGGCGGCUGUAGCAACGCGAGCAGCAGACAGGGGAGGAGGCAGGUGCACGGCGGCUGCAGCGGGUCAGUUGCAGAGCGCGACCGGAUGGCGUGGGUCGCGUGUGCGGGGGCGCCCAGGAGCUUGUGGGCCUGCGCUGGGGGAGCCCGGAGACGGGCGUCGUCAGGGCCGCGGGCGAGCACGCGCCGAGCGAGCUUCGGCCAUGGCGGCGCAGCGCGGGGAAGACCUCAACAACGACAAAUCGAAGCAAGGAAAGAGAGGAUCCGGGAGAGGAGCUCACAGCGGUGCUUGUAGGGACAGGCAGCGGGCUCGGGAGUCUCCGGUGGUGGCGAAUUGAAGAUGGCCGCCUGCGAUGCAGAAGGUUGGAGAUGGGGUUCGGUCGCGUUGUCUUGCUGCUCCUCCGGAGGCGUUCAUCGGUGUAGUGGAAGAAGACCCUGAGGCGGACCUCGCAGGCACGGCGUGCUGGCAAAUCAACGGCGGUGGCCGCGGUUAUGGGCACCACACGGCGACCGCGCCGCUCGGCCUCGAUCCAGAUCGAGAGAGAGGUGAGCGAGGGAGGAAGGGGAGGGGGUCGAGUGGGGAAAGUGGCAGGGGACCGAGGCGCCAGGGAGUGGCCUUAUCCCCCAGUCGGCGUGGCAGCGCGGGGCGCCGCACCAGGUCCGGCGGGGACGAGCGGUGUGGUCGGUCGGUCGGUCGAUUGAACAGGAGGGAGAGAAAGGGGUGACCGGGG
rnacentral:lncRNA from 1 species